rnacentral:rRNA from 1 species
UAUAUUAUAUAUUUUGCUUUGUUCAAAAUAAGGUUUUCUAAUAAAUUAUGUUUUUAUCAGAUAUGACAGAAUCUUUUUUAAAAUCUCUUCAAUAUGCUUUUAUUGCUUUUGAGAGGUUUUGUUACUUUGAGUAAAAUUAAGUGUUCAUAACAGACGGGUAGUCAUGAUUGAGUUCAUUGUGUUUGAAUACUACAGCAUGGAAUAACAAAUAUGAAUAAGCUAAUUAUUUUUUUUUUUCAUAAUUUUUUUGGAUAUUCUUAUUAGCUUAGUUACGAUUAAUAGGAGAAGCUUUGGGGGCAUCCGUAUUCAGAUGUCAAAGGUGAAAUUCUAAGAUUUUCUGGAGACGGACUACUGCGAAAGCUUUUGCCUAAUCUAUUUCCAUUAAUCAAGAACGAAAGUUAAGGGAGUGAAGACGAUCAAAUACCGUCCUAAUCUUAACCAUAAACUAUACCAACUAGGUGUUGGAUGAAUAUAAAAAAUAUAUAAAUAUGUAGCAUUUCUUAGGGAAUGUUGAUUUUAUAUUAGAAUUGCUUCCUUCAGUACCUUAUGAAAAAUCAAAGUCUUUGGGUUCGGGGGCGAGUAUUCGCGCAAGCGAGAAAGUUAAAAGAAUUGACGGAAGGGCACCACCAGGCGUGAAGCUUGCGGUUUAAUUUGACUCAACACGGGAAAACUCACUAGUUUAAGACAAGAGUAGGAUUGACAGAUUAAUACCUCUUUCUUGAUUUCUUGGAUGGUGAUGCAUGGCCGUUUUUAGUUCGUGAAUAUGAUUUGUCUGGUUAAUUCCGAUAACGAACGAGAUCUUACCCUGCUAAUUAGCGGUAAGUACACUAUAUUUUUAUUUGAAAUUGAAUAUAGGUAAUUAUACAUGUUUUUUCAGUGUUCAAAUUAAGAUUUUUUUUUAUUAAAAUA